rnacentral:rRNA from 1 species
UACGUAGGGUGCGAGCGUUGUCCGGAAUUAUUGGGCGUAAAGGGCGCGUAGGCGGCCACCGCAAGUCGGUUGUGAAAUCUCUGGGCUUAACCCAGAAAGGUCAACCGAUACUGCGGGGCUAGAGUGCAGAAGGGGCAACUGGAAUUCUCGGUGUAGCGGUGAAAUGCGUAGAUAUCGAGAGGAACACCUGCGGCGAAGGCGGGUUGCUGGGCUGACACUGACGCUGAUGCGCGAAAGUGUGGGGAGCGAACAGG